CCGGGGAGGCCUCAGUGUCUCCUCUCCUUCGGGAGAACAGAAGGACGCCUGCGGCCUACGGGGUGGAUCUAUCUCCUCAGCAAGGGAAACAAAAGCAAAAAUAAACAAAUGGGACCUAACCAAACUUAAAAGCUUUUAUACAUCAAAGGAAACCAUCAACAAAAUGAAAAGACACCCUACUGAAUAAGAGAAGACAUUUGCAAAUGAUAUGUUUAAUAAAGGGAUUAAUAGCCAAGGUAUGCAAAUAACUCAU